AUUGAACGCUGGCGGCAGGCCUAACACAUGCAAGUCGAACGAGUGGCGGACGGGUGAGUAAUGUCUGGGAAACUGCCUGAGGGUGGGGGAUAACUACUGGAAAAGGUAGCUAAUAACGGAUACCAUGGGAUGUGCCCAGAUGGGAUUAACGCGGAGGUGGUGUAAAGGCUCACAUAGGCGACGAACCCUAGCUGGUCUGAGAGGAUGACCAGCAACACUGGAACUGAGACACGGUCCAGACUCCUACGUGAGGCAGCAGUGGGGAAUAUUGCACAAUGGGCGCAAGCCUGAUGCAGCCAUGCCGCGUGUAUGAAGAAGGCCUUCGGGUUGUAAAGUACUUUCAGCGGGGAGGCGUUACCCGCAGAAGAAGCACCGGCUAACUCCGUGCCAGCCGCCGCGGUAAUAC
rnacentral:rRNA from 1 species